rnacentral:rRNA from 1 species
GACGAACGCUGGCGGCGUGCUUAACACAUGCAAGUCGAGCGGUAAGGCCCUUUCGGGGGUACACGAGCGGCGAACGGGUGAGUAACACGUGGGUGACCUGCCCUCAGCUCUGGGAUAAGCCUGGGAAACUGGGUCUAAUACCGGAUAUGACUCCAUGACGCAUGUUGUGGGGUGGAAAGCCUUGUGCGGCUGAGGAUGGGCCCGCGGCCUAUCAGCUUGUUGGUGGGGUGANGGCCUACCAAGGCGACGACGGGUAGCCGGCCUGAGAGGGCGACCGGCCACACUGGGACUGAGACACGGCCCAGACUCCUACGGGAGGCAGCAGUGGGGAAUCUUGCGCAAUGGGCGAAAGCCUGACGCAGCGACGCCGCGUGAGGGAUGACGGCCUCGGUGUAA